rnacentral:lncRNA from 10 species
CUGCAGUGGAGGAUGAGGACAGGGGGACGCAGAAGCACCUUCCUGCUGAAGUAAACGAGAGUUUUCAUGGGCGAUGAGGCGGAUGAACGUAUGAGAUUGCAGUAGAAGCUCCAGUAUGCGGCGAUUUCUGGCUUAUUGACCUAUGACACUUUUUUUCUGGAUUCUUAUCUCAUUUAACUUUGCUAUUUGUAUUAGUUUCCAAAUGCUACUAUAGCAAAUUUCCACAAGCUUAGUGGCUUAAAACAACCCAACUGUGUUAUCCUACAGUCUGAAGGUCAGAAGUCCAAGUUAGGUCUCACUGGACUAAAAUCAGGGUGUAGACAGGGCUGUGUUCCCUCCCGCCUUGGCCAGCUUCUAGAGAUGCUCUCACUCCUUGGUUCAAGGCCCCUCUCGUCUUCCAAAGAGAGCCAUGUCCGGUCUUAACUCGCAUUAACUCCAACUAUCUUGACUCUUUUGUCCACUUAUCAGGACCCUGUGACUACACUGGGCCCACCUGGAUAGUCUAGACUCAUCUUCCCAUCUCAGAUCUUUAACUUAAUCUCAUCUGCGAAAUCCCUUUUGUCAUGUAAGCUAAUGCUCACAGGUCCGGGGAUCAGGAUGUGGACAUUUUAGGGGUGUCAUUAUCCUGCCUGCCACGCUGUGGUUAUUCACCUUUCUAUGUGUUCAUGCUUUGGCACCCCCAGCAGAUGGGAAGCUCCUCUGGGGAGUGGGGUACUGCUUCUUUGUCAUUCUGUUCCCCAUAGCAAUUGCCCAAUUCAGAUACUCAGAAGGUAUUUUUCAAUUAGUUUUCCUUCCUGACUCCUGGUUUGAAUAACACAGAAGUGUAUUUCUAGGUAGUAGCUGUGUUGAGCCAGCCAUGGUAUCUUACCUUCUUGCUAGUCAGUGGGAUACAAAGAUGAUUCAAUAUUGCCCCAAUUUUCAAUAAAUUUGCCAGGUCGGGCACGGUGGCCCUCGCCUGUAAUCCCAGCAUUUUAAGAGGCCAGAGCAAGAGGAUUACUUGAGCCCAGAAGCCCAAGACCACCCUGGGCAGCAUAGUGAGACCUCGUCUCUAGAAAAAAAUUUAAAAACUUAGCUGGGCAUGGCGGUGCCUGCCUGAAGUCCCGGCUACUUGGGAGGCUAAGGUGGGAGGAUUGCUUGAGCCCAGAAGUUAGAGGCUGCAGUGAGCCAUGAUCACACCACUGCACUCCAGCCUGGGUGACACAGUGAGACCAUGUCUCAAAAUAAAUAAAUAAAUAAAUAAAUUUGCCUUGCAAAAUGUUCAAGAUGGCUGGACAGCACCCACAGGGUAAGCUCUUUGACACAGGAACGACACAUACAACUAAAGAUAAAAAUAAUGUGAUACUUGAUUGAGCAUAAUUUUAUGGAGCAGAGGUAGCUAGAAUGAGUGGA